CCGUGCUGCGUCAUGUCGCGCCCCGGCCCCGCCGCGCCCGCAGGCCGGCCGGGAUUUGUGUUCAGAGCGCGCCGGGCAGGAUGGAAAUGAGGUUUGUUCCCCUCGCAGCCCGUGCGGGGUGAGAGCGGCUCGCAGAUCCUCGUGGGGCUGGGGAGGGACGAGCCCUGGGGCUGCGGGCAGGGAAUGUCCCCGAGCCCAGCGCUGGGAUGCCGCAGGAAUUUUGGUUCCUAUGAAACAACUGGGAAAAUAUCACCAGCCCCACAUGGGCAGGAGGUGGAACUGGAGUUUAAAAAACAACCGGGCCAACUUAAACAGGUUUCAAAGCUGCUCUGCACAAACCCAGUUUCUGCUUCCCAGCAAGGCACAGGAGGGAUCAUUUUCAGCCGAGAAAUCUGGGCAGAAAAUGAAAAUAAAACUGUUGGUUUGGUUUGGUGUAAGAACAAUGAAGAACCAGAAAGAUGGCAACGGGAAAAAGCAGGCGAUGAAGGCAAGCAGCGACAUGAACACUCCCGCUGCAGGGCUGAGCAGCAUCUCCACACUCCCCAGCUGGCAAAGUGAGUGAACUCCAUCCCCCCGGCCAGGAAAGCCGGGAAUUGCCUCGUUCCACCUCCCACCCACGGCUCUGGCAGCUCGCUCCAGCCCUGCCCAGGAAAUCCCCCUGCAGCCCGGCUGGGGCACCCUCGCAACCAGGGCUGCACAAAAUCGAAUUUAUUUUUUUUUUUUACCAAAUACCGUUGGACUACCGACAUGAAGUAGCUCUCCUUCUCCAAACUUAGAUUAUUUGCUUUAAAUAAAGAAGUGUUGAGCAGCA